GACAAACGCUGGCGGCGAGUGCCUAAUACAUGCAAGUCGAACGCUUUAACUUCGACCGGGUGCUUAGCACCCAUAGAAGUUAAGGAGUGGCGGACGGGUGAGUAACACGUGGGUAACCUGCCCAUAAGAGGGGGAUAACAUUCGGAAACGGAUGCUAAUACCGGAUAAUUUCUUUCCUCUCCUGAAGAGAGAAUGAAAGGCGGAGCAAUCUGCUACUUGGGGAUGGGCCUGCGGCGCAUUAGCUAGUUGGUGGGGUAACGGCCCACCAAGGCGACGAUGCGUAGCCGACCUGAGAGGGUGAGCGGCCACACUGGGACUGAGACACGGCCCAG
rnacentral:rRNA from 1 species